rnacentral:lncRNA from 1 species
UAACGUGUCAAUAAUAUCAUGUACAUAUGUACAUACACAAUAUCACAUAGAGACAUUCAAGUUUUUUUAAAGAUAAGAAAUAAAUUAAAGAUAAGCUAAAAGACAUUACAUAGAUAUGAAGGAGAUAUAUCUCCCAUGGCACAUACCAAGAGAAAGUCACAUAGAAGAUAAAACAAAGAAUAGUCAUGGCAUACAAUGCCGAACAUAAAUUUUGUUGGGUUUUGUCCAGCACAUGUGGAAAUUAAUAAAGAAAGAGAAAAG